GUUCUGAUGAGGCCAAUAGUAACAUUUUCCUCAGAAGUAUGGUUUAUGGUCGGCGUGGACUUAAACAUUUAGCGAGAGGAAUCCAGGAGGGAUGAUAAUUAUGCUGACUGAACGAAGUGAUCUGACAGGACCUGAGUGGUGCGGGAUGACAACUAAAGAGAGAUAAAGGGCGCGAAUUGGACGUCCACUUUCCCUGGUUACUGAGUGCUGAACUGCUUGUCAUUGCUGCACAUGCCAAAGUGCUGGUCCUGUUUGACAGAAAAAGUGCCAGAAGUCUGUACCCUCCACAGGCUGACCUCUGACCUGAUGGACAUGUGAUCCAGGCAGGGAUCAAAGGUCCUGAAAAGUCUGUUCCCUCCACAGACUGAGAGAGAAGAGGUACUGUAGGCUCUGUUGGCCCCCCAAAACAACAAAUCUGCUAAAAAUCUGAAUAAUGCAGGGGGCGUUAUGGGUGGACGAUGGACACGGUGGCAGCGUGGCGUCUGCUCCUGGGACUAAGUGGAGAUUGGAGCCGUACAAGUCACGCCGGCUGGAUUCCUGUGGGUACAAAAAUGGUGCGUGAAGCCGCGACGGUGAGAACAAUGUACGGCGUGUUGAAUGUAAUGGUUCGCACAAACACAAGAAACGGUAGACCUGCUUAUGUAAAUAAAUAAGUAACAGUUCUUUUACUGGCCAAUCUAGCGAAAACAGAAGGGUUAGCUGGACUGUCUGGGGUGCUAAAUGGGGGACGGAGACACAGUGCAAGCAUAGUUGCCUGGCAAAAGGAAACUGGUCACUUCAUUCCAGUCUUUAAGUAAGGUCCAUUUCACUGGACUAAAUCUACAUGGAGAUUUUCUGUAAUUUCUGCAACAAAGUUCCUGUUGGUUGCAGAGUUAGG